ensembl:lncRNA
UUUUUUUUUUUUUUUUUUUUUUUUUUUUAUCAUCGUGCUGUGGACUAGCAAAAAUGUCAUACUGGUGAUUCCUCUGCUUCUGAUCCUUCAGAAUCAUUUGAGGGCAGAACCAAAAGAAAUGGGCUUAGGUUCUCAGGCUAGGGGUCCAAUCAGAGCUGUAGCCACUGGCCUAUGCCACAGCCCACAGCAAUGCUGGAUCCUUAACCCACUGAUCGAGGCCAGGGAUCGAACCUGAGUCCUCAUGGAUGCUUAGUCGGGUUCUUUAACCACUGAGCCACGACAGGAACUCCUAGGGCUGCUACUUAUAAACUGGAAGGAGACUCUGAGGAUAAGAGUGGAAGAGAAUCAGUGUAAUGGAAGAGAAAGACAUCUCUCAUGGUAGUCAGCUGCCACAGGGCCCACAUGCUAGUGGACGGCCACCUCAGGGUCAACCCUGCAACCUUCUGUUCCCCAUCCUUACUUUCUGACCUCUUUGGAGUUUCUUUGGCCUCCUGGCUGGCUUGCCAAUUGUUGGGCUGCACUCAGCACUCCUAAUAGCCUUGCGGUUGCCCAGCCUUGAGAUGGAAGAGUCUGGAGACAGCAACAGAGACAUCAUGGUUUAUGGGACAGGGGAACUUAAGCAAAAGGCCCUGGAGCAACACCCCACCAUUUAUGGCAGGCAGGCAGGCCGUGGUAAGGAGGCCACCAUUUACAGGGGCAACUGACAUCAGGUUGGCUCAUCAGUUACCACGGAAACCAGCAGCUGAGGCAUGUCCCUCACAGCCCCUCAGAUUAACAACCAUCACGAGGGCAGAUGUUUGCCUUUAAUAAACUUGCAGGUAGAGCCGUUCUGGCCUAGGGAUUUUUUUGGGGAGGCGGGGGAGCUGUCCCUGCAGCAUGUGGAAGUUCCCCGACCAGGAAUUGAACCUGAACCACAGUAGUGACCCGACGAGCCACUGUCGUAACUACUGGGUCCUUAACCUGAUGCACCACAAGGGAACUCCUGGCCUAGGGAUUAGAUUAAUCACUAGCUGGGGCAGGAGGCAAACACAUUCAUGUGAAUAGGGUGCAGGUGAAACAAGGACUGGUUGGUUGGUCAGGGCAUGUACAAAGAGCAAGAGAGCAGCCAUCUUCAAUGGCCUGAGCGUAAUCCACCUGGGGGCUGGAUAGAGUGCUAGGAAUGACACUUGAGGGGGUGCUGAGGAUAGAAGAAAGUGAAAGGCCCCCUGGGAGUGUUACCUGCAGCCUGGGGUGAGAUGGACAAAGGCUCUGAGUGGCCAGACCUGGCUGGCUGCAGCAUCCUUGCGAAUACUGCUCCCUAUUGCCCCACUCCCUUCAAGCCCAAGUAGCCCGGGGCCCAGAGCCUUCCAGCAGGAGCUCAAAGCCAGGCAGGUGAAGCGCUAUUCUGGUGCAGCCACACUCACUGCUGGCUCUGUGCCUGAGCCUGGCCUGGCUUCUCUCUGUUCUGUACCAGAAGGUGAAGCCAGAGGGUGUGGGGACAUGGGAGGCAGUUGGGGGAAGAGGCAAGAGGAAGGGUCUGGUCUCGUCUCCUCCAUCCUAGUGGGGAAGACUGAGUCCUCCGAAGUUUCAUUCUUAUCCUCCAGGGAAGUAGCGUUUUCAAACCUCAACCCCCCCUGUGUGUAUGUUGUUGGGAGUGGGGUGGGGAUGGUAAUCCCAGAUCUUGACCUCAUGGUUUAAUGGCACUGAUUACCCCAAUUUUGUUUUCUUUUUAGGCCACCCCACGACAUAGGGAGUUCCCAGGCCAGGGAUCAGAUCCGAGCCGCAGUCAUGACCUAAGCCACAACUGUGGCAACGCCAGAUCCUUAACCCACCAUGCUGGGCCAGUGAUCGAACCUGCAUCCCAGCACUCCCAAGACACCACCAAUCCCGUUGUACCACAACAGGAACCCCAGAUCUACCCCAAUUUUAAUCCUGGAGUUUUAGAAAGCUAAAUCUGGAUCCCCUCAGGUUACAAAUGCAGAAACUGAGACCCAGGCAAGGACAGUCCCCUCCUCUUCCAGUGUCUCACGGUUAAAUGGGUCCCGAGCCCCUGUAUCCACAUUCUCUGACAUUCUAUCCUCAAGUCCUCAAAGAAUGACAGACGUCAUAACUUGAGCAUCUGCUAAGUGCGGGACUCUGUGCUGGAUGUUGCAGAUGCAAAGGCAACUGCCCUGAAGCGCAUUUGGUCAACAGGUAGAUGGUCACUAGAGGGGAGCAGGCAGAUGCUGGAAGAGGACGGAUUUAUCUCAAGACUGCAAAACUUUGAAGGCACUCGCAUCCUUUUCAUCCUCCGUUGGAAGGGGGACCCUCCCUGCAGAAAUACCCCAAGGCCCAGAAGUGGGUCUGUGAUGAAAAGAUCAAAGGAAGGGGCCAGGGAAGAGGGCUGCCAGUGGGCACACCGCCCCCCCCAACAACUUCCAGAGGCCCAACCCAGAAAUCGGG